rnacentral:rRNA from 1 species
UACGGAGGGUGCAAGCGUUAAUCGGAAUUACUGGGCGUAAAGGGUGCGUAGGUGGUUUAGUAAGUUAUCUGUGAAAUCCCCGGGCUCAACCUGGGCAGGUCAGAUAAUACUGUUAAACUCGAGUGUGGGAGAGGGUAGUGGAAUUUCCGGUGUAGCGGUGAAAUGCGUAGAGAUCGGAAGGAACACCAGUGGCGAAGGCGGCUACCUGGCCCAACACUGACACUGAGGCACGAAAGCGUGGGGAGCAAAC